UGUAAUCUGUCACCUGGAUCUUAAUAUUACUCAUUGGCUUCAGCAGCAGGAGUUUCUGUAGCUCCAUGAGCAGAUGGACCAUCUUCAGCAGGCUUCGCAACAUCAGCUUCUUUCGUUUCUGCAGGUUCACCCGCAGAAGUAGCUUCGCCAGUUGCAGGAACAGGCGUCUUGAUAGUUCCCACCUUAACAUACUUGCUCAUGAACUUGUACUCCCAAUCCUGCAAGGCAUCCAACUCGAAUGGACCAAGACCAGAGAUAUCACCAGUCAAAUCUUUGUCUUCAAACGACAUCUUCGCAAGAGCUCUACUGGCAUCCUUUCCUGCAAAUAAUGCAUAAGGUCCACCCGGUCCAUAAAACAUCCUGCACCAAUGGGAAUUCGCAACAAAUAAUAAGUUUCUGCAAUAUUAUACUAAUAAAACAAAUUGUGCAUAGGUGAAAAAAGUUCAAAAUUCACACCGACAGUACAACCAAAUUCUCAGCUAAAUUAUAAAACAAAGCACAUGAAAAAGCAUAGACAGGUUUUCUUUCUUUCUUCCAGUGAGGUUAAAGAAACAUAAAACAGCAUAAGCGAAAAACUAGGAACCUUCCAUUUCAAUGACCAUCAACUCUCAGAAUCAGCUAUAAGACUCGUAGUAGGUUCAAAAUGCAAUCCUAUUUGGUUUAAUUUCAAUAUGCAAGUCAUAGCAAGUGAAAUCUAUGCCGUGAACUUGUGAAGACAUGAAAAUUUUCUAUACUAGAAGGUAUUUCAACAAGUAACAUAGAGAUACUAAAGCUACUCAAUACAAAUGCAAUCUUAUGUACAUUGACAUACCAGAAGUUCGAGACACAGUUCUUUCUGUACCAAGAAGUUCGAGACCAACUUCACUCUUUCGCUAGAACGAGAUUAAGAUACUUAGCAUGUUGCUGAAUGCUCAAUUUAAAUUAUCUCAAAUCUCAUCAAUCUUGCUUCUUAGACCUUGUUUGGUUGGGGUAAAUUAGUUUAAAGUGGAAAAAUUAUUUCUGUGUUGUUGGCAUUUCUUUAGAGAAAAAUUAUUUAUGUUUGAUUGGUAUUUCUUCUUGAAAUGCCGAGAAGUAAAAACCAUCUUCAAGGAAACCCACGGAGGAAACUAAGGGGAAUGACUUUCUAAAAAAUAACACAUUUGAUCCAAACAAUGUCUUAAUAGCAUUAUUUACACGAGGAACGCAGUAGGCUGUACAUGACAAACGCAAAGGCAGAUAAUAAUUUAAUACUUCAAAUGAAAGCACUCAAAAUUAAUUAAUCAUUCAUCACGAGAAACAAAGUUGAAAAUUUGCAUGUCUCUAUGAACCCCAGUAAACCUAUAGCUGAAAGCUAAAAGAAUCUAGCAUUAUUUACAAUUUUUUUAAAAAAUAUUAAGUGGAUAAUGCAUACUUACAAUCCGUAAAAAGAAAAAAAAAAAGUUUGCAAAAUUCUUACUUGUUGAACUCAGAAAAGUGGAAUCUUUUACCAGAGACCACAAAGCAAGCAAAAAGUGGGUCAACGACAAGAGAAAGUACAACAGUGUAAAAAAAAACACAGAGAAUAUAAGAAAGAGAAAGGGUCAAAUUCUAAAUCAAUCAUCCAAAGAAACCAAAAUUUUGCCAACCCAAGAAAUUAAUUUUCCAGAAUAUUCAUAUUACCAGUUCAAACACCCGCAGACCCAUAAAGUUGGAAACCUGAAGAAAGGAGACCGAGAAAUUUCACAAACCCAAAACCCAAAAGGUUGUUUUAUACCUGCUCUGAGAGAUAUCAUAGAUCUGACCCUUAAUAGCCAUGAGCAAAGGCUUCUUAGGAUCAGAGCCGUCAUAUUGCUUAAGCUCCUCCUCAGAAAUCUCACCGAGCUGAACAGGUGGAGGCAGAGGCUGCAUCUGCUCCUCAACGCUUCUAGGCCUUGGAUGAUUAUCCGAUGAUCCAAAGAACUCAGAAAUCAAAUAGUAGACGGCCAAACCUAAAGCUAGGACGGUGAAGAAGGUAGCUGGAGAGAGACCCGUGUAGACGGUGAUCGCUUCCUUGAGGGUCCCCCAUAGCUGCAAAGCC
rnacentral:lncRNA from 1 species